rnacentral:lncRNA from 1 species
UGUAGCAUAUGGAGGUUCCCAGGCGCUAGGGGUCUAACUGCAGCUACAGUUGCUGACCUUUGCCACAGACACAGCAGCACAGGAUCCAAACCGAGUCUGAGACUGACACCACAGCUCAAGGCAAUGCUGGAUCCUUAACCCACUUAUUGAGGUCAGGGUUCGAACCUGCAACCUUAUGGUUCCUAAUUGGACUCGGUUCCGCUGCACCAUGACAGGAACUCCUUAACUUUUUUUUUUAGUGACUACACUUGUGGCAUACGGAAAUUUCCAGGCUAGGGAUCAAAUCCAAGCCACAGCUGCAACUUGUGCCACAGCUGUGGUAACGCUAUAUUCUUAACCUACUGUGCCAGGCUAGGGAUGGAACCUGUGCCGCCAUAGAGACAACACCAGAUCUAAACCUACUGCGCCACAGCGGGAACUCCUUUUUAUAAUUGUUUGGAAUGGUUUUUCAGUUGAGUUUUUUGUUUUUUCAGAGAGUAUCAAUUUUAAGUACAAACACUUUUUACUUUCUCCUUUAUAACAUUUUAAUUCAGUCCCCCUCCCCCGACUAACAGCAUAAGCUAAUACUUCUGGAACAAUGUUAAACAAUGAUAAUGGACAGUCUUAUUUGACUCUUGACUUAAAUGCUUCUAGGGUUUCUCCAUGAGCCUGUUUUUUGAUUUACAUAUAAAAUUGAUUUAUAUAUACAUAGUAGGGAGUAUAUACUUCUAUUAUUAUUUGUCAAAUGAUUUUUUUUUACCAUCCAGGACAAUUAUUAUCUAAUUUUUGCCCUGUGAGUUACUGAUAGAGUGAAUUAUAAACACUUAUGGUCAAAUGCAUAGAAAAUUUUUGUGAUUUUUUUUCCACAAGCACUUGGGGAAUACAGCUAUAUAUAUAUUACCAAUUAGAUCUAUGUUAUUAUGUUAUUUAGGUCUCCUGUAUCUUUACUUUUUUUUGUCUCCUUGACCUGUCAUGUAAAUGUCUUAAGUAAAUGCCUAAAUCUGUUUGACAGACUCAACAUCCUAGGUAUCCUUCUGAUUAAUUAACCACUCUGUAGCACUUACCAUGUGCUAGGCACCAUGACAGGGGUUUUCCAUACGCCAGGUCUUUUAUGAGCCGGCUUCCACAGUCUUCAAAAAUUGUUUUGCUUCAGAGCUGACUUUUAACUACUAAAUUCACUUUAACAUGAAGUCACAGAUUUUUAGUGAGUCACAAGUUUAGAGGCUGGUUUUAUGAAUCUUUGCAGUCUAAAGCGUCAGAUGACUAGGGGGCAUGCCUACUUGUGCACCUCUCCCCCAAAAGGCAGUCUGUGCCACAUCCUUUCUAGGCCUUCUGUCUAGUGCCUGCCUAGAGCCUGGCAAAGAAGAAACAAUCAGGAAGAGGUAUGGAGUAACAAUUCUUUAUUGCUUUAGUAACUAUUCUUUAUUACUGUUGCAGUAGAAAAGAGAUGCCAUACUCCGGAGUUCCCUUCAUGGAUUAGCAGUUAAUGAACCUGACUAGGAUCCAUGAGGAUUCGGGUUCCAUCCCUGGCCUCGCUCAGUGGGUUAAGGACCCAGAAUUGCUGUGACCUGUGGUGCAUGUCGCAGACAUGGCUUGGAUUCCGCAUUGCUGUGCUUUGGUGUAAGCUGGCAGUUGCAGCUCCGAUUUGACCCCUAGCCUGGGAAUGUCCACAUGCUGAGGGUGCAGCCCUGAAAAGCAAAGAAAAAAAAAAAAAAGAGAGAGAGAGAGAGAUGCCACAGUCAAAGUGCAAUAAUUCAAGGAAGAUUUAAUAAAAAAAACUAUUUACAAAGAUACAGUCAGGGUACAGGGAAAUGUUAAGAGGUAGUGCAGUAGAAUGACAAUGUUUCUACCCCUUGGCCCAAAGACGUAAGUGGGGGCAGUGGUUUUGAAAUCUAGGAGUCGUGUGAGAGGGGAGGCCAUUAUGUGAGACGUGGAGACCUUUUUUUUUUAAUUCAAGGGGACAGCUAACCUAGUGGUUUUCACUGAGGGCAAAAUUUUGCCCCCAAAAGAACAUUUGGGAAUUUCUGGGACAUUUUUGGUUGUCAUAAUUGGGGAAGUAAGACGCUAUUUGCAUCUAGUGGUUAGAGGUCUGAGAUGCUAUUAAACAUCCUACAAGGCACAGGACACUGCCCACGACAAAGAAUUAUCUGGUCAUUUCCAAAAAGCUGUGGGAACGUUUACUGCCUAAAAAGUGAGAUAUCAAUGUAAAAAAUUUACAUAUGAACAUAAAUACUUGUUUAUUCAUAAAUACAUAUAUAUUAAUCUUUCCAUGAACUCUACUGUCACCAGAAUAUGUUAUGCCUCCUGGAGGCAGAAAAGAGAACAAGCAAGUGGACUGGCUGUGUUAUGAUUAUACUUGUUCAAUGAAACUAUGGGGUAUACACAAUAUUCUAAAAGCAAAGACUCAGAAGAAGAAUUUCAAAGCACAAUUUGAGGAAGGAAAAAUAAAAAAGCCAAGAAGAAAUAAAUAGGAAAACGCUUUUUUUUUUUGUCUUUUUAGGGACACACCUGUGGCAUAUGGAGGUUCCCAGCUGAACUGGAGCUGUAGCUGCUGGCCUAUACCACAGCCACAGCAAUGCCAGAUCCAAGCCACAUCUGCGAGCUACACCACAGCCUACGGCAAUGCCAGAUCCUUAACCCACUGUGCGAGGCCAGGGAUCAAACCUGCGUCCUUAUGGACGUUAGUCAGAUUUGUUUCCGCUAAGCCAUGACAGCAACUCCGGAAGGAGAAUUUUGACGAAAUACAGAAUUAUCACUUGAUCCAGCUAUUCCACUUCUGGGCACAUACCUGGAGAAAACCGUAAUUUGAAAAGAUAACGCACCUCAAUGUUCACUGUAGUACUACUCACAACAGCCAAGACAACCCAAAUGACCAUCGGCAGAUGAAUGGAUAAAGAUAAUACACACAUACACACAAUGGAACAUUACUCAUCAAUAAAAAAGAAUGACAUAAUGCCAUUUGCAGCAACAUGGAUAGACCUAGAGAUUAUCAUACUAAGUGAAUGUCUACUAAGUUAGACAAAGACAGAUGUCACUUAUGAUAUAAAUGAACUUACUUACAAAACAGAAACAGACUCAUAGAAAACAAACUUGUGGUUACCAAAGGGGACAGGUGAAGGGUGGUGGGGAGAGGAUGGAUUUGGGGGUUCAGGACUGGCAUAUGCACACUAUUUUAACUAUUUUAUGUGAAUGGAUGGUUAGCAGGGAUCUGCUGUAUAGCACAGGGAACACUACCCAAGAUUCUGUGAUAGCCUCUGUGGGAAAAGAAUCUGAAAAAGAAUGGAUAUAUGUAUAUAUAUAUAUAUAACUGAAUCACUUUGUUGUACAGCAGAAAUUACAUUGUAAAUCAACCACAAUAAAACUUAAAAAAAUGAAAACCAAAAAGCCACUCUGUUGUGCAUUAAUGUCUUCAUUUUUAUUUUUAUUUUUGUCUUUUUAGGGCUGCACCCGUGGCAUUUGGAGGUUCCCAGGCUAGGGGUCUAAUUGGAGCUGCAGCUACCGGCCUACGCCACAGCCACAGCAAUGUGGGAUCCGAGCUGCAUCUUCGAUGUACACCACAGCUCAUGGUAAUGCUGGAUCGUUAACCCACUGAGCAAGGGCAGGGACCGAACCCGCAAUCUCAUGGUUCCUAGUCAGAUUCGUUUCUGCUGUGCCACAAUAGGAACUCCCAACAUCUCCAUUUUUAAAAUAAGAAUGUGAUACCAACAUAUUAAAAUAACAAUUAAUAUUUCACACCUAACAUACCAACAAAGAAAAAAACCUGAUGAUGCGAGGUGGUAUUGAGAAAAUGAGAUAAGAACAUUCAAGCACUGCUCAGGGGAAAGUAAUUUGCUUUAACCUUUGAAAACAGUUUGGGGGGUGUGUGGCCCUAAAAAGAUGAAAAAAAAAAAGAACAGAAUAAUGUCCUUUGCAGCAACAUGGAUGAAACUAGAGACUCUAAUAUUAAAUGAAGUAAGUCAUAAACAGAAAGACAAAUACCAUAUGAUAUCACUUAUAUCUGGAAUCUAAUAUACAGUACAAAUGAACCUAUCCACAGAAAAGAAACAAACUCAUGGACUUGGAGAACAGACUUGUGGUUGCCAAGGGGGAGGGGAGGGAGUGGGAAGGACUGGGAAUUUGGGGUUAAUAGAUGCAAACUAUUGCAUUUGGAGUGGAUAAGCAAUGAGCUCCUGCUGUAUAGCACAGGGAACUAGAUCUCGUCACUUGUGAUGGAACAUGAUGGAAGGUAAUGUGAGAAAAAGAAUAUAUACAUAUAUAUGUAUGUAUGUAUGUAUGUAUGAAUGACUGGGUCACUUUGCUAUACAGCAGAAAUUGACAAAACAUUGUAAAUCAACUAUAAUAGAAAAAAAAAAGUUUGUGAAGAACUGGAAACAGAUGUCCAUCAACAGAGGACUAGGAAUGGUCGGUUUCCAGCUGCCUAUUUAAGGAACUUGGAAUGUCACCAGUCUAUUCAAACUAGUAAAAAGCUAACGGACUGAAAAAAAAUCAAGUCUUCUUGCACUUGUAAUAAAGGGGAGGACAAAGAG